UGGGGAAUAUUGCGCAAUGGGCGAAAGCCUGACGCAGCGACGCCGCGUGAGGGAUGAAGGUUUUCGGAUCGUAAACCUCUGUCAGAAGGGAAGAAACCGCACUGUGCUAAUCAGCAGUGCCUUGACGGUACCUUCAAAGGAAGCACCGGCUAACUCCGUGCCAGCAGCCGCGGUAAUACGGAGGGUGCAAGCGUUAAUCGGAAUUACUGGGGGUAAAGCGCACGUAGGCUGGUUUGUAAGUCAGGGGUGAAAUCCCACGGCUCAACCGUGGGAAGGCCUUUGGGACUGCAUAGCGUGAAGCCGGGAGAGGGUGGCGGAAUUGCAGGUGUAGGAGUGGAAUCCGUAGAUAUCUGGAGGGACAACAGUGGCGGAGGGGGGCACCUGGACAGGUAUUGACGCUGAGGUGCGAAAGCGUGGGGAGGAAACAGG
rnacentral:rRNA from 1 species